AUUGAACGCUGGCGGCAGGCAUAACACAUGCAAGUCGAGCGGAGCGGCGGACGGGGGCGUAAUGCCUAGGCAUCUGCAUGGGAGUGGGGGAUAACGUCCGGAAACGGGCGCUAAUACCGCAUACUAUAAGAUGAGCAAAGGGCGGAUUGGCUAGUUGGUGGGGUAAAUGCCUACCAAGGCGACGAUCCGUAACUGGUCUGAGAGGAUGAUCAGUCACACUGGAACUGAGCCACGGUCCAGACUCCUACGGGAGGCAGCAUUGGUGAAUAUUGGACAAUGGGCGAAAGCCUGCUCCAGCCAUGCCGCGUGUGUGAAGAAGGUCUUCGGAUUGUAAAGCCCUUUAAGUUGGGAGGCGUUACCAACAGAAUAAGCACCGGCUAACUUCGUGCCAGCAGCCGCGGUAAUAC
rnacentral:rRNA from 1 species